GCCACUCCGCGCAACCACAUUGAGCCGCUAGCGGAACUAUUAUUGGCUCUCAACCGCGCGCCCUGGGCGCUGGGCGGCGACCUGGGCGGCUGGCUGCGCGCCGCGCUCGCCGGCGACGGCUUCCCAACGCACCACGCCACGCCCGCCAGCAAGACCGCCUUCAUCGCCAACGUCGUCAAGGAGAAGUGCAGCAAACGAAGGCUAUUAGAAACAGUCCAAGAAUUCUCGUUAGUUUGCCGCGGCCUUAUCGGCACGGAGUACGCGCGGCAAACCCUCGCUUCCAAACAGCUCGUGACCUAAAACAAAACUAGUUUUUUAUUGAUCUCUUUUAAUGGUUUCAGAUCAGAAACAAAUUCACUUAUUUUGUACAUUUAUUAUUAGGUUGACUAUGAAAUUGUGAAUAUUUAAAUAACUAUCCUAUAUUUUUCCUGAAUGACGAAGAAUUGAAAGAAAACUUUGGAAAUAGUUUUUUGUAGAAAUGACGUAGUAUCCAAUAAGCAAUAGUGUGUUAUUUAUACACGUCGCUUUAAAGUAUAUUGUUUUAUUACUAUUUAAUAAGUUAUUUUAGAAUACGUAAAAAGAAAUAAAAGAACGUAUUUAAGAA